UCAGCGUUUUUAAGCCUUGGAGUAUCUUUGUCCACGUCUGUAGCCGAUUGUGUGAGCAGAAAUGGGUCGACAAGUUUUACAUAAAAGAUGAAAACGUUAUCAACGCCUGAAGUCUUUUUUGUCAGCUAUCUGUCUAGCAUGGUCCAGAACGCUUGUGCGAGGACAGAAUAGUAAAAGGACAGUUACACGGCGGGCUAGAACCAGAUUCACUGUCGACCACACACUGCAGCCAA